CCGGCUUACCAACCCGAUGCAAACUGCGAAUACCGGAGAAUGUUAUCACGGGAGACACACGGCGGGUGCUAACGUCCGUCGUGAAGAGGGAAACAACCCAGACCGCCAGCUAAGGUCCCAAAGUCAUGGUUAAGUGGGAAACGAUGUGGGAAGGCCCAGACAGCCAGGAUGUUGGCUUAGAAGCAGCCAUCAUUUAAAGAAAGCGUAAUAGCUCACUGGUCGAGUCGGCCUGCGCGGAAGAUGUAACGGGGCUAAACCAUGCACCGAAGCUGCGGCAGCGACACUGUGUGUUGUUGGGUAGGGGAGCGUUCUGUAAGCCUGUGAAGGUGUGUCGUGAGGCAUGCUGGAGGUAUCAGAAGUGCGAAUGCUGACAUAAGUAAC
rnacentral:rRNA from 1 species